AAGGAAAAAUGGAAAUGCAUUAUGUCUGUACUGUAAUCCCAAUUCUUUCUCCAUUUGGAACCCUAGAAAUUGAUAUCACGUGAAGGGGAAUCUCCAGUUCAACUCUGUCCAGCGCCGCACUCAUCCCCAGCUUCGCCCAUUGCCUCAGUCCACAACCCACAACCGUCGUGACAUGCAUCGAUCUUUGAGGUGACGAUAAUUACUUGGAGAACACUGUAUGUCCUUAAAUUUGUAGACACGAAGAUGGGAGGACAGAAUGCUAGUGUUUGUCAUGGCUAUAGAAGCAUGAAGCACUUCUUUAGGGAUUAACCGAUAAAACGAUGAUGUCCAUGGUGUGCAUAAGGAUUGCAGAAAUGUUUUGAGGUUGAACGCGAGACUAAUAACAGAGGACGAUUAUUCAAAACCUGCAGUAAUAAUUGUGGAAUUUUGAUUGGGUUGUGAAUGAAGAAUCAAGCGAUGAAUCAAAUAAUAUUAAUGAGUCAAUUAAUCCUGCACCCAUCAAAGAAGUUGAAGAUUUGCCAACCAUGUUCGAUAGUCUAGCUCAAAUAGCUGAAAAAUGAGACAUUGAGAUUUCAUUGAACGUGACAUUCUGUAAGGAAAGCGAAGCACGGACGUGAAUAGCAAAGGAGAAGGCCAUGAUUCAUGUGUAUAGAAAGACUGGGAUUUGCUGUUUUUUAAACUAUGUGUUUUUUGUUGGAAACUAUGAUCCUUUAAUGGCACGGUAGACUUAUAUUUUGUAGAGAUAACUUUUGCUCUUGCCGUAUGGUAGUCUUCAGUUAUUUUCAAUGAUAGUUUGUAAGGAUUUCAUGACUGCUAUGGGUAUGGGCCCCUUCUUCUUCUAUGGCUAUUAGUUUAUGUUGUGAAAUGCUUGUAACUCUUCAUGGAAGAGAACGAAUGAAGUUAAAAAUUACUGGAUGUCACUUGGAAUUUGUGGA